GAGAAGCAAUACCGCGAGGUGGAGGCAAAACUUCAAAAAUGGUCUCAGUUCGGACUGUAGGCUGCAACUCGCCUACACGAAGUUGGAAUUGCUAGUAAUCGUGGAUCAGCAUGCCACGGUGAAUACGUUCCCGGGUCUUGUACACACCGCCCGUCACACCAUGGGAGCUGGUAACACCCGAAGUCAGUAGUCUAACCGCAAGGAGGACGCUGCCGAAGGUGGGAUUAGCGACUGGGGUGAAGUCGUAACAAGGUAAC
rnacentral:rRNA from 1 species